rnacentral:rRNA from 1 species
GGAAUAUUGGACAAUGGGCGCAAGCCUGAUCCAGCCAUGCCGCGUGAGUGAUGAAGGCCUUAGGGUUGUAAAGCUCUUUCAGUAGGGAAGAUAAUGACGGUACCUACAGAAGAAGCCCCGGCUAACUUCGUGCCAGCCGCCGCGGUAAUACGAAGGGGGCUAGCGUUGUUCGGAUUUACUGGGCGUAAAGCGCACGUAGGCGGUUUGUUAAGUCAGAGGUGAAAUCCCGGAGCUCAACUCCAGAACUGCCUUCGAUACUGGCGACCUAGAGUCCGGAAGAGGUGAGUGGAACUCCUAGUGUAGAGGUGGAAUUCGUAGAUAUUAGGAAGAACACCAGUGGCGAAGGCGGCUCACUGGUCCGGUACUGACGCUGAGGUGCGAAAGCGUGGGGAGCAAAC